UCUGGAGGCUGGGUGCUCGAAGCCUCCGUGGCUGCCCUGGCAGGGGCCGCGGGAGCUGGUGCACAGCCCCAGUCGCGGCUCCAAGCGGAGCACGACCCCGAGGGCCCCGAGCCCAGCGCGACGAGUCUACCCUGCAGCCGUUCCCCGAGGGCGGUAGCGGAGUCAGCCCGGGGUCUGAACAGCAGGGGCCGGGACCCAGGACAAACCCGAUGCCGAGGAGAAGACAGGAGCGGUGGGAAGGGAGAGGGGCACCCCGGCAGGCAGCCCGGGCUCAGGGCCGGGCCCCGCCACCCCCAGGCCCUGCCAGGCCUCCCGCACUUUCAGGCUUCCCGGCCGCGCCUCCGGGGCUCGCCCCGCGCUGGUCGCCCCCACCCGGGCCGGGGCCGCCCCACUCCCCCGCCCGACGGCGCGGGCCAGGGCAGCGCUGCGGGGGGCCCAGUGCCUGCGAACUUCGCGCCCAUCCUGUCCUCCCACCCCAGCCCCCGCUCUGUCCCGCCUCUCCCGGCCGGCGGGGUUCCCGGAGAGGGGCACCCGGUGGCUCCACACCGCCUCCGCGGCCUCCACUUCCCACCUGCCACCCUUCUCCCUCUCAAAACCUGCCUUCCUCGGGCCUCCUUUUUGUUAUUGGACCCCACUGGGUGUCAGGGGGCCGCGGCUGACCGUCAACGAGUUCCUCCCGGGACAAGGGGGGGUCCACGUCACCAGGGAGCAGCGCCGGGCUUACCCCAACAGUGGACGCUCCACGCGCGGAGGCGGCCUGGCGCCCUUGGGAGGGGCUCUCCCGGGCUCGUCCCACGCGCCGCAGGGGCAGCCUGGCCCACAGCCUCACCCCCGGCCCGGGCCUGCCGGGGUCCGCGAGCUCCAGCUCCGGCUCCACCCGUCCCCGGCCGCCGCGACGUGGCGCUCCGAGGGCAGCGCGGGGGGCAGCGCGGGGCGCAGCUGCAGCCGGGCCCCCGCACUCUGCGGCUCGCGCCCCCGCCGUCCUUGAGGCGGGAGGAGCGGCUCGGGCGCGGGGGGGACGGGGCGCAGGCGUUCCCCCGGGGGGCGGGGGGCAAAACCUCCCUGCGGGGGCACGGGGGGCGCAAGGGCUGGGGCGCCCGGCUCCAGGCGGCUUUGGCGUCGCACACACAGUUUUUACGCAGGUCGCCCGUUGACGAGGGCUGGCUCAGGGAGGGCAGAUGGCGACUCCGGGGGAACUGCGCCCCGCAGCUCCGCCCCGGCGCCGCCGCCGCACCUCCCCGCGCACCGCUCCGGUGGCGGGACUCGGGACUGGAUCCCGGAGGCGGCCGGGGCUCGGGCGGGGGCGGGGCCUGGCGGGGGCGGGGCCUGGCGGGGGCGGGGCUCCGGGCUCCGGGGCGGGGCGACCGCUGA
rnacentral:lncRNA from 12 species